GGUAUGUGUAAGGCUGGGAUAGAGGGAGAAAGAAGAUGCUAUAGCCGGAAGUUUUCACUUGGUUAAAAAAGUUUGUUUUAACAGCAAACAAGGAGCAGUUUGUGGCCAAGCAGUCAGUCCAGGAGAAAGACAAGCAGGCUGAGGAGGGAGCUGAGAAAACCAGCGGGACAGACAAAAAGGCUUCUGGAAUGGGGGAAGGAGAGUUUGGCCCCAGCACAGUGGAGGAGAAGGCUGGGGACAAGCCCAGGAUGGGCUGCAGUCCCAGUAAUCCCCCACCACUGGAAUGUG
rnacentral:lncRNA from 1 species